AAGGCCUGCUCUCACUUGCCUCUAACCACUGCAGCAGUUUUACUCUUCUGCUGUCUUGUAAGACUACUGAGAAAUUGGCCAGCCUGUGCUGCAAUGUGCCUCAUUAGUGAGCUCUCUGCAUUCUGUCUCCUUUCCUCACUGGGGAACAUUGAAAGCCCAGGUAGUCAUUACUGCUCAGACUCUGAGAAAGAGGAGAUGGCUCCUCUUCCACCUUCUUACCAUACCAGUUAGUUAUUCACAGGAAAACUUUGCUUCUUUGGGUCUUUAACGACAUGGUACAAAUUCAGGUGAGAUGUAACAAAAGGGGGUUUCCUUCUGCUGGCUGCUUGUGUGCCUCGUGGUUUCAGUUUUCUAAGCAGUAGAAUCUCUUCUGUGCUUGUUUUCUCUCUUCCUUUUCAGAUAUCUCUGUUCAGCGUGUUGGUGUAACUGAGAUAAAUGCCAAGCUGGCUCCCUGCUGUGCGUGGUCCGACACCCCUUGGCCAUAGAGAUUCCAGCUAUUUAAGUUUGGAAAUGACAUUUCUUCACACGUCUUCCAAGAUAGCAAUGUAUGUCAAUCACCGGGAGCUCUGCCAAUGACAAUGCCAAUGGAUUUGAAUUUCCCAUUCAUGCUAGGGUGAAGGGGCUAUCUCUUUGACUUCUCCGACUGGGGCCUUUCAUCUCACCCAGGAAAGUUUAUUUCCCAAGGAAUUUUCUUUGUGGUCUCAAACUUGAAUGACCUUCCUUUUAUAACCUCUGAUAUCACCCAGGGUUUUAUUGCCAGGAAGUACCUCUUAGUUGACAUGCUUAAUACUGGGUUCCUGUGAUCUAUUCUAGGGAACCCCGAAACUUAGAGAGAAAACUGAGGAAAAUGAUCUGGUUUCCAGGUUUGGGAAUACCACUGAACCACUGACCCUUA
rnacentral:lncRNA from 1 species